ACAAUGCCAUCAUUCAUGCAUUUUGUUGGUGGUUGGCUCACUCCGUUGUGCUGAUCAUGUGAAAAUGCAGGCACAGAAAGAACUGUUAGAUCUACCUGGGAGCCAGCAGAUAACACUUUGUAAUAAGCAGGCACCUCAGUUGUUAAGAAUGCAAGCUUUGAGGCACCAAACUGAAUGUAGAGCACUGGACAUGGACAGCAGCCAUGUCAUCUGUUAUCAUUGCCUUCUUCGGGCUUCAAAAUUAGCAGCGGAGACAGUAGUUUGGCAAGGAGAAGACAUUUCCUGGCUCAGAAGUGUGGCGGAGAGAUCAACGGUCAUCUAUUAAUCAAAUUGGGCCAACUAAAAAUAUCUCUGUUGUGUGGAUUCUGGAUUGUGUUGUAUUUUGCUGUAUGGCAAUGCAGCAUAUGUUUCCCAGCAAUCAAUAUAUCUCUAAACUCACCACCUGUGGUAAUAAAGGCACUCAGGCCCCUUCUACGCUGCCAUAAAAAUCCAUAUUAUCUGCUUUGAACUGGAUUAUAUGGUAGUGUAGACUCAUAUAAACAAGUUCAAAGCAGGUAAUGUGGAUUAUCUACUCUGAUAAUCUGGAUUAUAUGGCAGUGUAGAAGGGGCCUCAGAUUUUAUUAUUUUAAUUAUAUAUGCUAUUAUUGUGUUCGGUUUUUAUCUGUUGAUUCUUGGACUUUGUCCCCCUCUGAGCAGGGAACCGCUCCGAGUACCCUCAGGGAGAUGGAGGUGGGUUAUAAAUAAAGUAUUAUUAUUAUUAUUAUUAUUAUUAUUAUUAUUAUUAUUAUUGAAAACACUUUUGAAAAUGAGACAUUUGUAGUAAAGAGUGCAGCAUGUGGCAGAAUCUCAAUUUGCUUCUUAUCUUUGAUCUUUUCUAUGCCAUGACAAACCGUGCUGAAAUACGAGGGCUAUCCAGAAAGUACAUUACAUUUUGGAAUUAAAAAUGAACAGAGUAUAAGAGAAAACAUUUGCCAUAUGCAGUUGAAAGCCACACCCAAAUACCACAGCUCACAUAGUCGCCAUUCAAAUCUAGGCACUUACCAUAGCGAUGAAGGAGCUUUGCAACUCCUUCCCCACUAAAUUCUGCUGCUUGUCCUCAACCAGCCAGUCACCCCUUCCCGCAGCUGCAAAGCGUCACCAAAACGCUGUGUUCCAGCCACGCCCACAUUGUUGGAAACAAGUGGUUGAGGAAGCAAGCAGCAGAAUUUAGUGGGGAAGGAGUUGCAAAGCUCAUUCAUUGCUAUGGUAAGUGCCUAGAUUUGAAUGGCGACUACGUGAGAUGUGGUAUUUGGAUGUGGCUUUCAACUUCAUAUGCUAAAUGUUUUCUCCUAUACUUUGUUCAUUUUUAAUUCCAAAACGUAAUGUACUUUCUGGAUAACCCUCGUACUAUAUGUUUUAAGUUUUAAAAAAAGGUGCCUCAUGAGAACAAAACCAUCUUUGCUGCAUGUAAAGCUAAAUCUUAAAUUGCCAUGCAAUCAUGCUUUACCUUUAAAAUAUUCAACCAGAUCCUAUCUGAUCACGGAAAUUAAAUAGGGUCAGUCCUGGUUAGUACUUGGAUGGGUGACUGCCAAUGAACACCAGGUGCUGUGGCCUAUAUUUCAAAAGAAGGAGUCCUAUGGAACUUCAUACCAUGAUCUCCAACAAUGGACUCCUUCUUCAGAUAACAACCAUGUAGCAAAAACAGUGUCUCCCACACUCAAGACAGACAAUCCCUUCCAGAUUGAGGGUGUUGCAAGCUAGUGAAAAGCACAAGAGUAUCAACCGGCUAUAUCUCUCUUCCUUACUUUCUAAAAUAUCAUGUCCCAAAGCAAUUUAUAUCAUACUGUUCCUGAAAGAAAGCAUGGAAGUGAUCAACACCAGGAGAAAUCUAGCCUGUGAAUUGCAUGUAGACACCCAAGAUUGCUUUGUCGUUCCAUGCCUGCAGCCAAAGACACUGACAAAUUUCUGCAAUUUUCCAUCUAGAGAGGUAUGGCCCUACGGGAUCCUCUGAAAGGGCAUUUUGAAGACUCACUCCCAUCCCAUAACCUUCCAUUUGAAGCCUCACUCCCACCCCAUAACCUUCAAUAAUUUUCAGGUGAAACCUGGGAUACAUGUGACCAAGCAACAUUGGACUGCGGUCUAGAUGUUGAAAUUUAUUAUUGGGGGAAUGGGACACAACCUAGGAGGGUCUGCAGUACUUUGCUUUUGCCUGAGCCUAUUGGGAAGGGUAAAAUCUCAACCCUCCUUUCAAUCACACAUCCCAGGAUCUUAUCUGCUUUGAACUAGAUAAUGUGAGUCUGCACGACAAAUAAUCCAGUUCAAAGCAGAUAAUCUGGAUUUUAUAUGGCAGUGGAGAUGGGGCCUGAAUUAACUGGGUAUAAAUUAAAAAAAUUGGAUGGCAAAGGAUUAAUUGGGACUGACUUUGCCAAAUUGAUACAGUUAGAGGAUAUACAAUUCCUGCAAUUGCUUAUCACAACAAGAUAAUCAGUUUUAUCCAACUGUAACUAUAGUUGUCCAACCAUCCUCUCAAUCAUCUUGCCUUUAAAAAGGAAGAAUGUUAACCAUUGGCUUAUAAAGUGCAACACCUGCAUUCAGGCAAAAAAAAUUCUGAAUAGUACCAAGACUAUAAAUGGUUAGUUGUUUUCACCCCACUUCGAGUCCUACAAAUUAAAUAAAGUUAUGUAUGAACAGAUGGACAAAUGAAUUUAAGGAACAUAUUCACAAGACCUUGUUGCAUCCAUGUUUUCCAGAUGCUUUAUAAUUUACAAAAGUCAAAUAUAAUGUCUAUGUGUAUGUGUGAUAAUGUGUAAAUAAGUAUAGCAAAGUCAGAUGAGAUGUUCAUUUUGUUUUUAAAAGUAUGUCUUUCCUUUAACGGGAAAAGCUCUCAAGGAGAACUCCAAAGUAAAAUGCUACAAGUGUAA